rnacentral:rRNA from 1 species
UACGUAGGCAGCGAGCGUUGUUCGGAAUUACUGGGCGUAAAGAGUGUGUAGGCGGUGCUCCCAGUCUGUUGUGAAAUCUCCCGGCUUAACUGGGAGGGUGCAGCGGAAACUAGAGUGCUAGAGGGUGGGAGAGGUAAGCGGAAUUCCUGGUGUAGCGGUGAAAUGCGUAGAUAUCAGGAGGAACACCAGUGGCGAAGGCGACUACCUGGCCUGUUCUUGACGCUGAGGCGCGAAAGCUAGGGGAGCAAACGGG